AUGGGCUCUAACUUCGAUUUAAUCAAAACAUGGCUGAACGAGCAUGAAAGCUAUGAAUUCAACAAAAAUCCCAAGCCGUAUCUGACAAUCUUGCAGCAAGAGUCAGGAGAACAUUCAAUGCCUCAAUCAUCUAAGAACAGCUCAAACAAGAAAAUCUCGGUCAAGAAAAGGCCGGUAAAGCCUUCAAGAAGGCUCCUUGGAGAAAUCAAGAUUCCUACAUUUGUCCUAGGAGAUUUCAAAUUCAUGAACAAAGCCAAAGCACUCCAUGAAUACCUAUUCAGCAAAGAAGGACAGGACGAAUGCGGAGAUCUAAACGUAUAUAUUAGGUUGACGUGA
rnacentral:rRNA from 1 species